rnacentral:rRNA from 1 species
CUAGCCGUAAACGAUGGACACUAGAUGACGGGCCUUAUAAGUUCGUUGUCGCAAGCUAACGCGUUAAGUGUCCCGCCUGGGGAGUACGAACGCAAGUUUAAAACUCAAAGGAAUUGACGGGGGACCGCACAAGCGGUGGAGCAUGUGGUUUAAUUCGAUACAAAGCGAAAAACCUUACCUGGGUUUGAAAUGUACCUGCAAAUCCUACGAAAGUAGGACUUCUUCGAGAGUGGUACACAGAUGC